rnacentral:rRNA from 1 species
UACGUAGGGGGCAAGCGUUGUUCGGAAUCAUUGGGCGUAAAGCGGGUGUAGGCGGCUCUAUAAGUCAGAAGUGAAAGCCCCAGGCUUAACCUGGGAAGUGCUUUUGAUACUGCAGAGCUUGAAUGUGGGAGAGGGUAGUGGAAUUCCAGGUGUAGUGGUGAAAUACGUAGAUAUCUGGAGGAACACCGGUGGCGAAGGCGGCUACCUGGCCCAACAUUGACGCUGAGACCCGAAAGCAUGGGGAUCAAACAGG